ACACUUUACAAUGCGGGAAACCGCGAUAAGGGAACCCCGAGUGCCAGCAUCAAAUGUUGGCUGUCCAGAUGAUUAAAAAUCAUUUGUUAGCAAGGGCCGGGCAAGACCGGUGCCAGCCGCCGCGGUAACACCGGCGGCCCGAGUGGUAGCCGUUUUUAUUGGGUCUAAAGGGUCCGUAGCCGGCCUGAUAAGUCCUUUGGGAAAUCUGGCAGCUUAACUGUCAGGCUUCUAAGGGAUACUGUCAGGCUUGGGACCGGAAGAGGUAAGGGGUACUCCAGGGGUAGGAGUGAAAUCUUGUAAUCCCUGGGGGACCAUCUGUGGCGAAGGCGCCUUACCAGAACGGGUCCGACGGUGAGGGACGAAAGCUAGGGGAGCAAACCGGAUUAGAUACCCGGGUAGUCCUAGCUGUAAACGAUGCUCGCUGGGUGUCAGACACGGUGCGCCGUGUUUGGUGCCGCAGGGAAGCCGUUAAGCGAGCCACCUGGAAGUACGUCGCAAGGCU
rnacentral:rRNA from 1 species